rnacentral:lncRNA from 1 species
CAGCUGAUCCAUCUCCCAUCAAAUGCAACUCCAGACCUGUAAUGACUCCAAAAGGACUAGGAAGACUCGAUAAAGACUUGAAAACCAAUUUAAAAGCAUAUAUACAAGAUGUAUAAAACACCAUAUAUCAAUUCCCCCAGACUUAGAUCCGUGUUUGUCCUCAAACAAUGUCAAGUAUCAAGAACAGAGAGAAAGGUUUGAAAGUGUGGGAACUCUCCUAUUCUCAGCAACCAUACUUUAACCACGAAUCUCUGAACCAUACAAGCAGUAAAACUAGGACAACACACCCUUACCGGAACCCCACUGACUGCUGUUCAAAAAUCGGCUCCAUACUCUUCAUCUCAAACCUGAAAAAGCAACACUAUCGAGACAGAACUCCCUACAUUCAUUUAAGAGUAGCGUGAGCUUCUCAUCACAGGCAUCAUUCAGGGUAGACGGUCUAGGUGUGGAACAGGCUAUUUAAUGGUGGAGUUAAGAGUGUUUAGGGGCUACCAUUUCAUUGAAAAGAAUGCAGGAUAUCACACAAAAUGGCAAGAGAGGAUAGAUCCAUUGAUGUUCACAGCCUCUACUCGUUUUUGCUCUAUCUGGUGCGACUGUUCUCAUGACGGAACAUGCAACUGAUUGUUCUGCUUUCCACUUUCCUCUACACACUCUUCAAUACUUGGUACCAACUUCUUGCUCGACCUUUCUAGUGGCUCCAUGUUUCUUUUCUUUCUUCCCCUUCUCCAUCACAUUAAUCUCUUUUUUUUUUUUUUUUUUUUUUUUGAAUACUGAUAUGGUGAUGUGACGAAGAAGGAGGUAAUACAUGAUCGUUCUGAGUGCCACUGGUGGUUCUGAUUUCGCGACCAUUCUGGUUCUCCACCCCUGCUCUUGCGCAGUUCAUUGGUUAUAGAGUGGUUGCUCCCUUAAUCUGCUUGUUCUCCUUUCUUACUGAAUUUCUGUAGCAGUAACGAGUAGCAGACUGCGUUGAUCCUUUCCUCUCCGACCUUUUUGCACAUAUCUGCACAUAUGACACUGAAAAACAAAUGCAUGAAGGUGGAAUAAAGGCUAAAGUGCAGGGUGGAACUAGCUAAAGAUGAGCUAGCCACUCAGGAUCAGCAAGAUGGAUGAAAAUGAUAAGAAGUCCUGAGUGUGUUCUCGUUUCCCUGAUCUAAUGCCCAUAACAAGAAGAAUUUCAGUCAAGAUUAGGUUCAAGUAAGGUGGAGUUAUGUCUACCCAGUGUAACCUGAUCGGCUGAGAACUUCUGGAGAAUCAAGUGAGAUAUGUCAGGGUGUUCCAGGUCCACAUGUGUGUCUUUCGCCACUGCUAAGGUCACUGAAUAAGAUAACUAAAGCACGAGGUGGUCAGUGAUCAACACAGAAUAAGGUCCAAAUUCCCACCAAGUUUUGACUGACUCAAUAAAAACUGACUCAAAUUGACCCAAAAGAAAAACAAAAGAAAGAAAC